GAUGAAGAACGUAGCGAAAUGCGAUACGUAAUGUGAAUUGCAAAUUCAGUGAAUCAUCGAGUCUUUGAACGCACAUUGCGCCCCUUGGUAUUCCGGGGGGCAUGCCUGUUCGAGCGUCAUUUCAACCCUCAAGCUCUGCUUGGUAUUGGGCCCGGUGGGCGAUUGCCUACCAGCCUUAAAGAGAGUGGCGGUGCCCCGCGGCCCUGAGCGUAGUAACUACUCCCGCUAUAGGUGUCCACGGGCUCACCAGCCAGCAACCCCAACUUUCUAUGGUUGACCUCGGAUCAGGUAGGGAUACCCGCUGAACUUAAGCAUAUCAAUAAGCGGAGGA
rnacentral:misc_RNA from 1 species